CAUGUAAUUCCGCCAUCCAGAAAUACUUGUAGGAGAAACAGAUGUAUCUAGACGUAUUUUAGUUCUAGAUACAUCCAUUUUUAUCCAUUUCUGCUGCAAGUAAUUCUGGACACAGGGAGUAUGAU
rnacentral:pre_miRNA from 1 species